CCUACGGGAGGUUGCAGUAAGGAAUAUUGGUCAAUGGACGCAAGUCUGAACCAGCCAUGCCGCGUGGAGGAUGAAGGUCCUCUGGAUUGUAAACUUCUUUUAUUUGGGAAGAAACUCCCGAUUUCCAUCGGGAUUGACGGUACCAGAUGAAUAAGCACCGGCUAACUCCGUGCCAGCAGCCGCGGUAAUACGGAGGGUGCAAGCGUUACCCGGAUUCAAGGGGUCUAAAGGGUGCAUAUAUGGGCAUGUAGAAAUCUCCGGGCGUAACCCGGAAACUGCCAUUGAUACUAUUUGUCUUGAAUACUCUGGAGGUGAGCGGAAUAUGUCAUGUAGCGGUGAAAUGCUUAGAUAUGACAUAGAACACCCAUUGCGAAGGCAGCUCACUACGGAAAUAUUGACGCUGAGGCACGAAAGCGUGGGGAUCAAACAGGAUUAGAUACCCCAGUAGUC
rnacentral:rRNA from 1 species